GCCCAUUCUGAGGUCCUAGGGGUGAGGACUUCAUCACAUCUUUUUGAGCACCAUAGUUCAACCCACAGUACAUGGUUAGGGCUCCUCCAGGGCCUUGCACAGGGCUGUGCCAGUGAGGGGCUCUGAAGCUUAAGCUUCCUGAGCAUCACAACCCCUCUCCCCAGGCUUAGACCAGAGAAUGGCCUGGUGAUGGUGGGUGUACCACCCCAGGAGGCACAGCAGACCCCUCAGUGCCCUCCUGCCCACUCUGGAGGUUCCCCUUCCGCUUUGUGCAGAAGCCUUCCUGGGUCUCUUUGCCUAAGGGCUUCCCCUGUCCCCCACCCCCAGCAGACUAGAAGUGUCCCCAGGAGAAACCGUCAACCACAGAGGGCCAGGGAUUGGUGAAUGUACGCCUCAGCUUCCUCCCGCCUCAGAGGGACUUAAAAAAUCUUUCGUGGCUAACGCAGAUGCAGAAGAACGCUCCGAGCAAACGCAGGGCUUCACGGAUUACUCCACGGGCCGUACCCACGGCGGGACUGUUCCGUGGAAGCUCCACCCAGCCGCUCAGGGGUCGCAGUCGCACACAGCGGUUGCCUCUGACUUCCUCUGUGACCUGUUUGCCUCCCCGUGCUCCUGGGAUCACCUCCCAAAUAAGCUGCUUGUCCCCAGGUUCUUGUCUCAGGGUGAGCUUUUGGUGAAACUCAGAAUCAGGUGGUUGGCGAGGACAGGCAUCUUUAGAGGUGGCAUUUGAGGUGAGACCUGAGCACCGAGAAGGAACUGGCGGUGCCGAGAUCUGUGUCCCAGGCGGAGGGAACCGAGGCGGCCCUGAGGCAGAGUGGCCCUGCGUGUGGCUGGAACGCAGCGAGUGAGAGGGGGAGCCUGAGCAGGGCCUGGGAGAGGCAAGCAGAAGCCAGAUCUCAGAGGGCCAGCAGUCUGGGUCCGUGUGCGCAGGCGCACGGCUGUGAGGCGUGUGGGAGGUGAGGAGACUAGAGGUCUCUCCUCUUUCUUUCUUCUCUUUCCACUUCCCCCCGCACACACCUGACACAUCCACACACUCACACACAUUCACAGGAGGUUGAGUUUUUUUAGGAUUUUUUUUUUUAAUUUUAAUUUUUUUCCUUUUUCUCCCCAAAGCCCCCCGGUACAUAGUUGUAUAUUCUUCACUGUGGGUCCUUCUAGUUGUGGCAUGUGGGACGCUGCCUCAGCGUGGUUUGAUGAGCAGUGUCAUGUCCGCGCCCAGGAUUCGAACCAAGGAAACACUGGGCCACCUGCAGCGGAGCGCGCGAACUUAACCCCUCGGCCACGGGGCCAGCCCCACAGGAGGUUGAGUUUUGAAAACCUAAUUUCAUGUGGCCAUUCCAGUCCCACAGCACGUAUCUAUUCAGAUCAGCGCUGUCCCAAUGACCAAUGGCAACACCUUGAGGUUCCCAGUGGCAGUAGUAACCAUCACAACUGAGACCCACACUGCAACAGUGCCUUUAAGAUAUGAGCUCCACAAACCAUCCCAGCCGCCUGGAGAGCCAGAGGAACCCUCAGGACAGCCAAGUCCAAAUGGGUCGGGAGCAACGUCACGGUUUUCUCUAGUAGUGCAGCCAUCAGCCUGAGCUGGUUGCAGAGAUGGCUCAUUGCCUCAUUAGCUGCUUCCCCCUGGCAUGUGGGAAGAUGAUGGGGACGUGGACGAGCCCAGCCCUCACUGAAGACCAUCCUUCCAAUUCUGGCUGUCUGUGCUGGAGCAUUCAGACACCCCAGGAUUCCCAGCUGAUGGCAGUGCGGCCCAACGCCCUCCUUUCACACAUGAGCAAACAGAGAGGAAAAUUCUAGGUGCCCCAGAUCCAAGAGGGGUACUGUCUGUUCAUACUCCCCAAGCAGCCAGGUCACAGACACGGUCCUUGGCCCUUGCUUUUGGUCUUGUGUGCCAAUCCACACACGCCUGGGAGAGCAACUACCUUCUGAACAUCACUGACGCAUCUACUUGGCAUUUGAAAGCUUCCCCUUGGCUGGAUCCAAGAAUUAGCUUCCUGAGCCAUCUGCCAAUUCACACUCAACUUAGCACAUACAAAGCUGUCUUUUUUGACGUGCUGCUCCCCAUUCUUUCACCUCUACCACGUCAUUAACUCUGACCAAGAAGUCCCUGCAUGAUCUGACCUGCAUGUCCUUGUGUUGUCAGAUCCUGUUCCCUCUCCCAGGCGGGACUCUCCCUGGGUUGUCACCACACCCCUUCUUGCUAAAGCCCCACCACAGACGUGGCCCACAGCACUCCAGGCUUGCUCAAGUCUGCAGGCUCUGCUCCCUGCUCUCUCUUUCCCCUGCUCUGAGCUUCCCUGACCAGGAACGUGCGUGCUCAUCCUUGUCCUGUCUCAGAAUCGAACACACCGAGAGCAUCUUAGGGGUUUGUGCUCUUGGGUUUCUGAGGAUACAGUUUCUCCAGGGCAUUCCCAGCCCUAGGCCGUCAGACUGUCCUUGCUCCGUUCCAAAUGAGCAAGGCUCCUGAAAGAUUUUCCUAAGACAAGAAACAACACAUUUCCCUGUUCACACAGAGCUUCCAAGUCAGCCGGGCAAGCAGGAUUGCAGAAAGAGCACGGCCUUUAGCUGCCCGGGGUCCGGGCAUUGGCUCACCAUGCACGCCUGCAGGCUAAUCUCUCUGGAGCUCCAUUUGUCCUUCCAUGAAAGCGUGGUCCCCCACGCUUAUCUCCGUCAGCAGGCGGACGUGGAUUAGAUGCCCACCUGCACGUAGUCUGUCAGAGUGGUGACAGCUGCUCCACGGGAGCUGCUGUGUGCCCUCCACCCAGUUCCAGCCACAUCGUGACCCUCCCGAGUCCCUGAUUAUUGAAUUCUGACUCCACACACCCAUCCCACCGCUGGAGCAUCAGCUCCUUCAUUUGGGACCACAUUUUGUCUUUGGAUCCUCACUGCCUCAUGCAAUGCCUGG
rnacentral:lncRNA from 1 species